UACCGCAUCAAAACAUAAAAUGUAAAUUAGUGGCCAUACAUUUACCAUCCCAAUCCCUUUUCAGCAACUCAAUUCUAACCACCAUUCCAUCCGAUACAAUAGGAUUUUUUCCUCUCCUCCACACUUUUCCAAAAGCAUAGUUGUAUUUAUUGAUAAUAAUAUAAUUUUAUUUUUAUUUUAGAGAAGGUAUUUGGCUCCUAAUUUUCUGUGGCUCGGAUGGAGCAUGGGUUGGACUACAUUCGUAUAAUUAGAAUCGUUUAGAUUAGAAUGCAUGCAGUAGUCUAUUUGCAAUUCAUUAAAAACACCGGGCAAAACAAAAUAUACAACGCCUCAUGAAUCCGUUGUUUAUAGAAGAUCCUGAAUCUGCGUUUGCAGCCGCUGCGCUUGAGGUCGGAGAUGAUGGGACGACGAUAUUAUCUAUAAGAUAAUCCAGUUGGCAUUUUACUGUUCCAAUUGCAUUUGUCAGCUUCCAAAUUUUUUUGUCGUGCUCCUGCAUUCCUAAUUGUAUUUCAUUUAUCAUUCCUAACACCUUGUCAAUUUUUCCAUUGAGUGAAGCCAGUGUUAUCUCUGGAUUUUCGCUAACCUGGUUUUCCAUCGCUGAUAUGGCUAUGGUUUAAAAAUUAGUUGUUUUAAAAUUCAUUCGGCCACAAAGUCAUUCUAUCAUUUUAUUUACCUUUUUUUCACUUUUUUCUAGCUCCAAGCUCCAAGCUCCAAGGCGUGCGAGAAUAAUUUUUUGCUCCAAUCAGUCCAAAAAACGAAGACCAAAUAAAAUUUUCCAUCGUCUUGAAACCCAUA